rnacentral:rRNA from 1 species
AUGGCCUCACAAGCAAUCCUGGAAGCCUUUGGGAGAAUCUCUGGACUCUACACCAACUUCAACAAGUCCUCGGCUUUCCCUAUCUGUUGUGAUGAGCUGGCAACUAAUGAAGUGCUCUCCGAGUUUGCGGGAACAACUGACUCUUUCCCUUGCAAAUAUCUCGGGCUACCACUUAGCCUCCACAACCUUAGGCGCGCCGACCUCCAAAUUCUGAUUGACAAGAUAGCUGCGAAGCUCGCAGGAUGGAAAGGCAAGCUCCUGAACAAAGCGGGAAGGCUAACGUUGAUCAACUCAGUCCUUACCUCUAUCACCACCUACCUGUUGACCCUGUUCGCUCCUAGCAAGUGGCUGAUCAAGAGGAUCGACAAGCUUAGGAGAAGUUUUCUUUGGAAGGGCAGUGAGGAGGAGGCCAAAGGUGGGAUUUGUGCAGUCAACUGGCUGCUGGUUUGCUCACCAAAAAAGUACGGUGGACUGGGCAUCAAAAACCUCUCCUCUUUUAGCAGAGCUCUACGGUUGCGGUGGGCCUGGUUCGCGUGGCAAAGCCAACCUAGGCCCUGGUUUGGAAUGAAACUCCCCUGCUCUGAAGCGGAUAUGCAGCUCUUUCAUGCCUCCACCAACAUUCACCUUGGAAACGGGCAAACUGCGAGUUUCUGGAAGUCAAAGUGGUUGGAUGGGGCCGCACCACGUGACCUUGCACCCUCCCUCUUCAAGCUGGCGCGCAGGAAAAACUACACUGUGGCUCAAGCCAUGCAUGACAGGAAGUGGAUGAAGGGGCUUGAAUGA